rnacentral:rRNA from 1 species
UACAGAGGUCUCAAGCGUUGUUCGGAUUCAUUGGGCGUAAAGGGUGCGUAGGUGGCGCCGUAAGUCAGGUGUGAAAUCCCGGGCUCAACCCCGGAACUGCACUUGAUACUGCGGUGCUCGAGUACUGGAGAGGAGAUUGGAAUUUACGGUGUAGCAGUGAAAUGCGUAGAUAUCGUAAGGAAGACCAGUGGCGAAGGCGAAUCUCUGGACAGUUACUGACACUGAGGCACGAAGGCCAGGGAGGCAAACGG